rnacentral:rRNA from 1 species
UACGUAGGCGGAAAAUUAAGUCAGUAGUGAAAUCCUGCAGCUUAACUGUAGAACUGUUAUUAAUACUGGUUUUCUUGAAUAUAGUUGAGGUAGGCGGAAUGUGUAAUGUAGCGGUGAAAUGCUUAGAUAUUACACAGAACACCGAUUGCGAAGGCAGCUUACUAAGCUAUGAUUGACGCUGAGGUACGAAAGCGUGGGGAGCGAACAGGAUUAGAUACCCUGGUAGUCC